rnacentral:rRNA from 1 species
GACGAACGCUGGCGGCGUGCUUAACACAUGCAAGUCGAGCGGUAAGGCCCUUUCGGGGGCACACGAGCGGCGAACGGGUGAGUAACACGUGGGUGACCUGCCUUUAGCUCUGGGAUAAGCCUGGGAAACCGGGUCUAAUACCGGAUAUGACUCCGCGGCGCAUGUUGUGGGGUGGAAAGCCUUGUGCGGCUGGAGAUGGGCCCGCGGCCUAUCAGCUUGUUGGUGGGGUGAUGGCCUACCAAGGCGACGACGGGUAGCCGGCCUGAGAGGGCGACCGGCCACACUGGGACUGAGACACGGCCCAGACUCCUACGGGAGGCAGCAGUGGGGAAUCUUGCGCAAUGGGCGAAAGCCUGACGCAGCGACGCCGCGUGAGGGAUGACGGCC